rnacentral:rRNA from 1 species
UAAUACAGAGGGUGCGAGCGUUAAUCGGAGUUACUGGGCGUAAAGGGCGCGUAGGCGGUUACAAAAGAGUGGUGUGAAAGCCCUGGGCUUAACCUAGGAAGUGCGCCGCUGACUGUGUGACUAGAGUAUAUGAGAGGGUGGCGGAAUUUCCGGUGUAGCGGUGAAAUGCGUAGAGAUCGGAAGGAACGUCGAUGGCGAAGGCAGCCACCUGGCAUAAUACUGACGCUGAGGCGCGAAAGCGUGGGUAGCGAACAGGAUUAGAUACCCUGGUAGUCCACGCUGUAAACGAUGAGAACUAGAUGUUGAUUGGGGAACCAAGCAGUAUCGAAGCAAACGCGAUAAGUUCUCCGCCUGGGAAGUACGGCCGCAAGGUU